UACGUAGGGUGCGAGCGUUGUCCGGAAUUAUUGGGCGUAAAGAGCUCGUAGGCGGUGUGUCGCGUCGGCCGUGAAAACCUGGGGCUCAACUCUGGGCGUGCGGUCGAUACGGGCAUCACUUGAGUUCGGCAGGGGAGACUGGAAUUCCGGUGUAGCGGUGAAAUGACGCAGAUAUCAGGAGGAACACCGGUGGCGAAGGCGGAUCUCUGGGCCGAUACUGACGCUGAGGAGCGAAAGCGUGGGGAGCGAACAGG
rnacentral:rRNA from 1 species